rnacentral:rRNA from 1 species
UGGGGAAUAUUGCACAAUGGGCGCAAGCCUGAUGCAGCCAUGCCGCGUGUGUGAAGAAGGCCUUCGGGUUGUAAAGCACUUUCAGCGAGGAGGAAGGGUAGUGUGUUAAUAGCACAUUGCAUUGACGUUACUCGCAGAAGAAGCACCGGCUGACUCCGUGCCAGCAGCCGCGGUAAUACGGAGGGUGCAAGCGUUAAUCGGAAUUACUGGGCGUAAAGCGCACGCAGGCGGUUUGUUAAGUCAGAUGUGAAAUCCCCGCGCUUAACGUGGGAACUGCAUUUGAAACUGGCAAGCUAGAGUCUUGUAGAGGGGGGUAGAAUUCCAGGUGUAGCGGUGAAAUGCGUAGAGAUCUGGAGGAAUACCGGUGGCGAAGGCGGCCCCCUGGACAAAGACUGACGCUCAGGUGCGAAAGCGUGGGGAGCAAACA